UACAGAGGUGGCAAGCGUUGUUCGGAAUUACUGGGCGUAAAGGGCGCGUAGGCGGUUCGUUAAGUCCUGUGUGAAAUCCCCCGGCUCAACUGGGGAACUGCACAGGAAACUAGCGGGCUUGAGUUCGGGAGAGGGAUGUGGAAUUCCAGGUGUAGCGGUGAAAUGCGUAGAUAUCUGGAGGAACACCGGUGGCGAAGGCGGCAUCCUGGACCGAGAUUGACGCUGAGGCGCGAAAGCUAGGGGAGCAAACGGG
rnacentral:rRNA from 1 species